UAGGGAAUUUUUCACAAUGAGCGAAAGCUUGAUGGAGCAAUGCCGCGUGAACGAUGAAGGUCUUUAAGAUUGUAAAGUUCUUUUAUUUGGGAAGAAUGACUUUAGCAGGUAAUGGCUAGAGUUUGACUGUACCAUUUUGAAUAAGUGACGACUAACUAUGUGCCAGCAGUCGCGGUAAUACAUAGGUCGCAAGCGUUAUCCGGAUUUAUUGGGCGUAAAGCAAGCGCAGGCGGAUUGAAAAGCCUGGUGUUAAAGGCAGCUGCUUAACAGUUGUAUGCAUUGGAAACUAUUAAUCUAGAGUGUGGUAGGGAGUUUUGGAAUUUCAUGUGGAGCGGUGAAAUGCGUAGAUAUAUGAAGGAACACCAGUGGCGAAGGCGAAAACUUAGGCCAUUACUGACGCUUAGGCUUGAAAGUGUGGGGAGCAAAUAGGAUUAGAUACCCUAGUAGUCCACACCGUAAACGAUAGAUACUAGCUGUCGGGGCGAUCCCCUCGGUAGUGAAGUUAACACAUUAAGUAUCUCGCCUGGGUAGUACAUUCGCAAGAAUG
rnacentral:rRNA from 1 species